UACGUAGGGUCCGAGCGUUGUCCGGAAUUAUUGGGCGUAAAGGGCUCGUAGGCGGUUUGUCACGUCGGGCGUGAAAACUCAGGGCUCAACCCUGAGCGUGCGUUCGAUACGGGCAGACUAGAGGUAUGCAGGGGAGAACGGAAUUCCUGGUGUAGCGGUGGAAUGCGCAGAUAUCAGGAGGAACACCGGUGGCGAAGGCGGUUCUCUGGGCAUUACCUGACGCUGAGGAGCGAAAGCAUGGGGAGCAAACAGG
rnacentral:rRNA from 1 species